UACGGGGGGUGCGAGCGUUGUCCGGAAUUACUGGGCGUAAAGGGCGCGUAGGCGGAUAUCUAAGUCGGGGGUGAAAGCCCAGGGCUCAACCCUGGAAUUGCCUUCGAUACUGGAUAUCUUGAGUUCGGGAGAGGUGAGUGGAAUGCCGAGUGUAGAGGUGAAAUUCGUAGAUAUUCGGCGGAACACCAGUGGCGAAGGCGACUCACUGGCCCGAUACUGACGCUGAGGCGCGAAAGCGUGGGGAGCAAACAGG
rnacentral:rRNA from 1 species